UCCAAGUGUUUUUAUCUGCCUACCCUUGUAUGUGUUUCAGAGAAUGUGAAUAACCUUGGGCAUCUGGAUGUGAUAUUCAGGACUGUGCUUUAGAGAAGCUUAUCUUACACCUUCUUUUUCUAGAAUUUCUUUUAAUAUCUCUGAAGGCUUACAUGUCCUUUCAUAGGAAGGGAGAGGUCUUUUCCAUGACCAGUGCCAGGGUGAGUGUAGUAUUUCCACUUAGGAUGGGUGUGUGCAAAAACUUCUUUGACAGGGCUGUGGAAAAAACAAACAAAACCUAGAAAUCCACUAAGCUCAGUGUUUAAAAUACCCUGUCAAAGAGGCUUUUCAGAUUAAGUUGGUCUGAUUCCACCAUUUUUCUGUAGUGAAAUGUUCACCAACUUCACUGACCCAGCCUGCUGUGAAGUCUUUAGAAGAGGUGACAUCGCUGUCCAUUAAAGAUGUUAAACAAGUCCAGGAAAGGAUCUAUUUUUUAAAAAAUUCAUUCCCAGUAUCAUACCUUCAUUAAAUACUAGAAUCCCAUUUAGAGCAUCCUGUUGGGAAUCCUGUCCAAGACAGAAGAUUCCUAAUCUUAGUCAAUGGCCAGAUUUUCCUGUGGUCUUAUAUGAGUUAACUCCUGCUGCUGGUCCCCCUUUCAGGUGUUUUCAGGGACUUGGACUCCUUAUUCCUCUCACUGAGGGGAGAUGCUCCCAUCCUUCUAUACUCCCACCCGUUACUCAGACAGCACAUGAAUUCCCUGAGAAAAUCCUAGAAUAGUAAGAGCCAAAAGGAGCCCGAGUGGUCACAGAAUGCAGAGUGCUCAUUUUGAACUGAAGCUCAGAGAGAGAAUAGGAUUUGCCUUGGGCUGCAAAGCAAGAAAGGGAAUCCAAGGCCUGGGCCCUGGCCUGACGGCCUCGAGUGCUGCUGACUCUGGUGUGAACCUACCAGGCGUGGCUGCUUCACACUCAGCCCAAGACCUGUAACCAAAAGAAACCUCUGGUUUUGCUUUUGGUCUUACCUUAGUGUUUCCCCACACGAGGUAACCAUUACUUUCCAGAAACCCUUUAUUAAUAAAUAAAGUCAUUAGUGAUCCCCCAAUGCUGCUUAAGUAUUUUUAUACAGCAUAUAGCAAAGUGGUUACUAAGAGGACAGACAGGCAGGGGUUUGAAUCCCAGCUCGGCUGUGGUUGGUUAUACCUUGAACAAGUUCCUGAAUCACCCUGAGCCUCGUUGCCUCUUUUGCAAAAAAGGAGUAAUAAUUGUACCCAUCUUGGAGUUGCGAGAACUCAGGAUGAUUCAUAUGAAACACUUAGUAUAGGUGUCCAGGACAUGGUAAAUGCUUGAUAAGUGUUAGCUGUUAGUAACUAUUUAGUUGUUAUAUCAUCCUCUUCACAGUUGCUCUGCUUAUCUGGUUGUAUUAUUGUUUUGUUUAAACUGCCCCCCCCCCCAACCUGUGUUGGGAAAUGAAUAUAGUUAAUUCUCAAUUAUCCUCAUUGUGGAUGGGAUAAUAACAUUCAGAAUAUAAAAAAGCAGAUGGUUCCAAGUGAUCAGGAGACCCAGGUGUCAUUUACAUUUGGUUUGAUGAAGCAUCUUGAAAAGUAGCAAGAAUUUUGCCGCCUUUAUUGUGAAUAGGAGGCCAUAGUUUAUGCUAAAAUUUGUUUUUUUCUUUAGCCUGAGAACUCACUGAUUAAAAUCAAGAGAAAGCUAAGGCAGUACCUUGUGAUUUCCUGCUCAGGCAUGGAUAAAGGAAUUGAUUCUACCUCGUUUUCCAAGCUAAAAAAAAAAAAAAAAAAAUCCAU